UAGGGAAUCUUCCACAAUGGACGCAAGUCUGAUGGAGCAACGCCGCGUGAGUGAAGAAGGUUUUCGGACCGUAAAGCUCUGUUGUUGGUGAAGAAGGAUAGAGGUAGUAACUGGCCUUUUAUUUGACGGUAAUCAACCAGAAAGUCACGGCUAACUACGUGCCAGCAGCCGCGGUAAUACGUAGGUGGCAAGCGUUGUCCGGAUUUAUUGGGCGUAAAGCGAGCGCAGGCGGAAGAAUAAGUCUGAUGUGAAAGCCCUCGGCUUAACCGAGGAAUUGCAUCGGAAACUGUUUUUCUUGAGUGCAGAAGAGGAGAGUAGAACUCCAUGUGUAGCGGUGGAAUGCGUAGAUAUAUGGAAGAAUACCAGUGGCGAAGGCGGCUCUCUGGUCUGCAACUGACGCUGAGGCUCGAAAGCAUGGGUAGCGAACAGGAUUAGAUACCCUUGGUAGUCCAUGCCGUAAACGAUGAGUGCUAAGUGUUGGGAGGCUUCCGCCUGCUCAGUGCUGCAGCUAACGCAUUAAGCACUCCGCCUGGGGGA
rnacentral:rRNA from 1 species